AUGAGUCAGUGUGUUCAGGUCAACUGUCUUUCUGGUUUGUCUGACAAAACAUUACAGAUUAUCUGGUGUGAGUGCUGUACCACUGACAAUACUUUACAGAUUGUCUGGUGUGAGUGCUGUACCACUGACAAGACUUUACAGAUUGUCUGGUGUGAGUGCUGUACCACUGACAAGACUUUACAGAUUGUCUGGUGUGAGUGCUGUACCACUGACAAGACUUUACAGAUUGUCUGGUGUGAGUGCUGUACCACUGACAAGACUUUACAGAUUGUCUGGUGUGAGUGCUGUACCACUGACAAGACUUUACAGAUUGUCUGGUGUGAGUGCUGUACCACACAAGACUUUACAGAUUGUCUGGUGUGAGUGCUGUACCACUGACAAGACUUUACAGAUUGUCUGGUGUGAGUGCUGUACCACUGACAAGACUUUACAGAUUGUCUGGUGUGAGUGCUGUACCACUGACAAGACUUUACAGAUUGUCUGGUGUGAGUGCUGUACCACUGACAAGACUUUACAGAUUGUCUGGUGUGAGUGCUGUACCACUGACAAGACUUUACAGAUUGUCUGGUGUGAGUGCUGUACCACUGACUUCUCAUGCUGAAUCUAAUGCUGUCUAACUAUGAGAGAAGUGUUACAAGAGAAGUGUUACAUUACUGCAACAGAAAAUAAAGAAUAUAUAUAUAUAUAUAUAUAUAUAUAUACAGUACCAGUCAAAAGUUUCGACACACCUACUCAUUCCAGGGUUUUUCUUUAUUUGUACUAUUUUAUACAUUGUAGAAUAAUAGUGAAGACAUCAAAACUAUGAAAUCACACAUGGAAUCAUGUAGUAACCAAAAAGGUGUUAAACAAAUCAAAAUAUAUGUUAUAUUUUACAUUCUUCAGAGUAGCCACCCUUUGCCUUGAUGACAGCUUUGUACACUCUUGGCAUUCUCUCAACCAGCUUCAACUGGAAUGCUUUUCCAACAGUCUUGAAGGAGUUCCCACUUGUUGUUGAGCACUUGUUGGUUUGUUUUCCUUCACUUUGAGGUCCAUCUCGCCCAAACCAUCUCAAUUGGGUUGAGGUCGGGUGAUUGUGGAGGCAAGGUCAUCUGAUGCAGCACUCCAUCACUCUCCUUCUUGGUCAAAUAGCCCUUACACAGCCUAGAGGUGUGUUUUGGGUAAUUUUCCUGUUGAAAAACAAACGAUAGUCCCACUAAGCACAAAACAGAUGGGGUGGCGUAUCGCUGCAGAAUGCUGUGGUAGCCACGCUGGUUGAGUGUGCCUUCAAUUCUAAAUAAAUCACCAACAGUGUCACCAGCAAAGCACCCCCAUCACACCACCUCCAUGCUUCAUGGUGGGAACCACACAUGUGGAGAUCAGCAGUCUCCACUGAACAGUUGAUGUUGAGAUGUGUCUGUUACUUGAAUUCUGUGAAGCAUUUAUUUGGGCUGCAAUUUCUGAGGCUAGUAACUCUAAUGAACUUAUCCUUUGCAGCAGAGGUAACUUUGGGUCUUCCUUUCCUGUGGCGGUCCUCAUGAGAGACAGUUUCAUCAUAGCUCUUGACGGUUUCUGAAACUACACUUGAAGAAACUUUCAACGUUCUUGAAAUGUUUCCAAAUGAACUGACCUUCAUGUCUUAAAAGUAUUGAUUGCCUAUUGUUUAUCUUUGCUUAUCUGAGCUGUUCUUGCCAUAAUAUAGACUUGGUAUUUUACCAAAUUGGGCUAUUUUCUGUAUACCACCCCCUAUCUUGUCACAACACAAUGCAUUAAGAAGGAAAACAUUUCCACAAAUUAACUUUUAACAAGGCACACCUGUUAAUUGAAAUGCAUUCCAGGUGACAUGAUUCUGGUUGAGAGAAUGCUAUGAGUGUGCAAAGCUGUCAUCAAGGCAAAGGGUGGCUACGCUGAAGAAUGUAAAAUAUAACAUAUAUUUUGAUAUGUUUAACACUUUUAUGGUUUCUACAUGAUUCCAUAUGUGUUAUUUCAUAGUUUUGAUGUCUUCACCAUUAUUAUACAAUGUAGAAAAUGGUAAAAAAUAAAGGAAAACCCUUGAAUGAGUAGCGGUGUCCAAACUUUUGACUGAUACUGUAUAUUGUCCAGAUUAUUUAUAUUUCGUGGGUGCCAGAGUUGCCCUCCGCUGGUGACCAGCGUUCUACCAUGUGAUCAUGUGAUCAUUAAACAUUGUCUCGUAAUGAUGACCUCGUGGUUUGGUUGGUUUUUCAUGUCAAGUGCAUUUUUGCAAUAAAUGCCUUUGUUUUAAUACAACCUGUCUCGCAUCGUGCCUGUUGACAAACAUGCUAUCUCACUACUGCC
rnacentral:lncRNA from 13 species